UCCGAGGGCGUCCUGCUUCCUUAAAGCGGAAUACUUUAUUUAUUGUUAAGCUUUUUAGUAAGCCGCAAUAUGACUUCUGAGGAGUAUUCUGUGCUAGAGUAAAUAUGAAUUUAGUGAGACACCGGAACAUUUUAAAAAUAAUUUGCUGUAGGCUAAUAACCCCCAUCCCACGUGUCCUUCACCUGCGGAUGCAUAAGAGGACAGUUUUUAAUAUAUCGUCUUUAUAAUAUUAAGGCAGUGAAUAUAAACGUUUAUGAUUUGAUUUAGAAUCAUGACUUUGCACACCGGUACUUUUUCACCGGGUCUCUCUGAUUUAAUCGUACCCAUCAGAUUAAAAGGUUGUUGGUUCAACCGAAGGGCAACCAAAAUAUUCCUGAAUGCAGCAAAGACUUUAGAAUACACAUUAGCCUGCAGGAAUAUUUUUUGUAUUGGCACUUAAAGAUCGUGUUUAUUUCGUAACUUAAAGACAUGUGUUUUUGCAAUUUAAGCAAUAGGUGAUGCGAUCGUUUAAUAGGCUACGUUGCCAUUCAGAAACGAUUAUCCAUACAGAGCGGACAGGUCGUCAGACCGCCAUCUCAUGUGUUCAGAAAUUACAUAGGCUACUUUUCGACAAAAGGAAAUAUUAUUAUUUUCCUGUGCGUAGAUUUGGAAAAGUAAGCAUAGUUUAUGCCUACAUCCUAAUCUUGUGGCUUAAUGAACACUGCAAUAAAGCAGGGGUCCUCGAUCUUAUCCUAAAAGGGCCGAUGUGGGUGCAGGUUUUUGUUUUAGCCUACCAUGCGACACCUACUGUGACCAAUUACCUAAUCAUGGUCUGCAUUCAAGACCUUGCGAAGUAGGAUCAGGUGUCUUAGCACUGCGCUAAUAAAACAACCUGCACCCACACCGGCCCUUUAAGGAAAAGAUUGGAGACCUGCACUGAAUUUAUCGGAGUCUUUAAAGACGACCUGCUUGGAGGUCGACAACAAAAAUGAUUGAUAUCCGGAUAGAUGCGACGAAAGUGUUUUCGGAGCGGGGAUGCGGAGGCUUUGUUGUUUGCGGAGGUUCGCAGCGGUGGAGACGUCUGGGCCGCUCUGCGCCUCUGGAUAUUGAGAUCUGAAAAAAAAUAAAAAUCAGAAGUUUAUUGUCAGACAUUAAUAAUUCUAUAAAGCGGCGCUUCUCAGUAUUGGCGCCAGAGGAAUUGGACGUUGGAAGCGGUUUGAGAAAUGUCCCGAUGUUGUACUGCCUCUCUGAGACUAAAGGAAUCUGACAUAGUAGCCAACUUUCCUGCAACUGAAUGGGGAAGCUGAUAUAAAACAUUGUAUUUCAUCAAAAAACAGACAAUGAUACAUAAAAACAUAGAUGAUAUAUAAUACAGGGGAGAUGAGACUCACACUGUACACUGUAAAAGACAAUUUUUGUACCAUAUGUGUUUCUUGCUUAGUUUUUUUUUAGUCCAUCUUAUUUUUUGUUCUGUUCUGGAGAGCAGUGUAGUGUUAAAAUCACUGAUAUUGUGGAGGUGCAGCUCAGCAUGUCUGGAAUUGAAAUGUUUGUGAAAACACUUGGCUGUAGAACUGCAAUUAGUACCAUGUACAUACAGCGAUUUUACAUUUGCUGCAGGCAAUAAUGGAACACAUGCUAUCUGCAGUAAGUACAUUUGGUCGUACGUUAUCUUGCACCCUGAGUUGUCAUUACUGCUGGAGGGAGUUUUUUCUGGGUUGAACUCAUUAAAGGUUGAUCCAGGAAGUGUUUACACCCUGAAGCGAAUAUAAUUGGAAAAUAUUG